CGCGCAGGCGGUUUCUUAAGUCUGAUGUGAAAGCCUUCGGCUCAACCGAAGAAGUGCAUCGGAAACUGGGAAACUUGAGUGCAGAAGAGGACAGUGGAACUCCAUGUGUAGCGGUGAAAUGCGUAGAUAUAUGGAAGAACACCAGUGGCGAAGGCGGCUGUCUGGUCUGUAACUGACGCUGAGGCUCAAAGCAUGGGUAGCAAACA
rnacentral:rRNA from 1 species